GGUUCCAUAGAGUAGUGGUUAGCACGUCUGCUUUACACUCAGAAGGUCCUGGGUUUGUGUCCCAUUGGAGCCA
rnacentral:tRNA from 1 species